GAAUUCGCCCUUAGAGUUUGAUCCUGACUCAGGACGAACGCUGGCGGCGCGCCUAACACAUGCAAGUCGAACGGAACUUGAGAGAGCUUGCUUUUUCAAGUUUAGUGGCGAACGGGUGAGUAACGCGUGAGUAACCUGCCCUGGAGUGGGGGACAACAGUUGGAAACGACUGCUAAUACCGCAUAAGCCCACAGUGCCGCAUGGCACAGCGGGAAAAGGAUUUAUUCGCUUCAGGAUGGACUCGCGUCCAAUUAGCUAGUUGGUGAGGUAACGGCACACCAAGGCGACGAUUGGUAGCCGGACUGAGAGGUUGAACGGCCACAUUGGGACUGAGACACGGCCCAGACUCCUACGGGAGGCAGCAGUGGGGGAUAUUGCACAAUGGGGGAAACCCUGAUGCAGCGACGCCGCGUGGAGGAAGAAGGUUUUCGGAUUGUAAACUCCUGUCGUUAGGGACGAUAAUGACGGUACCUAACAAGAAAGCACCGGCUAACUACGUGCCAGCAGCCGCGGUAAAACGUAGGGUGCAAGCGUUGUCCGGAAUUACUGGGUGUAAAGGGAGCGCAGGCGGACCGGCAAGUUGGAAGUGAAAUCUAUGGGCUCAACCCAUAAAUUGCUUUCAAAACUGCUGGCCUUGAGUAGUGCAGAGGUAGGUGGAAUUCCCGGUGUAGCGGUGGAAUGCGUAGAUAUCGGGAGGAGCACCAGUGGCGAAGGCGGUCUACUGGGCACCAACUGACGCUGAGGCUCGAAAGCAUGGGUAGCAAACAGGAUUAGAUACCCUGGUAGUCCAUGCCGUAAAGGAUGAUUACUAGGGGUUGGAGGAUUGACCCCUUCAGUGCCGCAGUUAACACAAUAAGUAAUCCACCUGGGGAGUACGACCGCAAGGUUGAAACUCAAAGGAAUUGACGGGGGCCCGCACAAGCAGUGGAGUAUGUGGUUUAAUUCGAAGCAACGCGAAGAACCUUACCAGGUCUUGACAUCCGAUGCAUAGUGCAGAGAUGCAUGAAGUCCUUCGGGACAUCGAGACAGGUGGUGCAUGGUUGUCGUCAGCUCGUGUCGUGAGAUGUUGGGUUAAGUCCCGCAACGAGCGCAACCCCUAUUGUUAGUUGCUACGCAAGAGCACUCUAGCGAGACUGCCGUUGACAAAACGGAGGAAGGUGGGGACGACGUCAAAUCAUCAUGCCCCUUAUGUCCUGGGCUACACACGUAAUACAAUGGCGGUCAACAGAGGGAUGCAAAACCGUAAGGUGGAGCGAACCCCUAAAAGCCGUCUCAGUUCAGAUUGUGGGCUGCAACCCGCCCACAUGAAGUCGGAAUCGCUAGUAAUCGCGGAUCAGCAUGCCGCGGUGAAUACGUUCCCGGGCCUUGCACACACCGCCCGUCA
rnacentral:rRNA from 1 species